rnacentral:rRNA from 1 species
CAGCCGGCCGCGGGAAUACGAGGGGGGCAAGCGUUGUUCGGAAUUAUUGGGCGUAAAGGGCGCGUAGGCGGCGGCCAAAGUCAGGCGUGAAAUUCCUGGGCUCAACCUGGGGGCUGCGCUUGAUACUUGGUUGCUUGAGUGGGGAAGAGGGUCGUGGAAUUCCCAGUGUAGAGGUGAAAUUCGUAGAUAUUGGGAAGAACACCGAUGGCGAAGGCAGCCCCCUGGGCCAAUACUGACGCUCAUGCACGAAAGCGUGGGGAGCAAACAGGAUUAGAUACCCGCGUAGUCCCUGUCUCUUAUA